rnacentral:lncRNA from 1 species
AUACAUUACCUAAUACCCUAUGGGCUUAAAUAUUUUGAAUUCAGUAAAAUGUAUUAGUCUCCCACAUUAUGCAUACUUGUGAAACUUAACUUAAAAUUUGAAUGGCUAUACAUGGGUCACUUUGAUUGCAAAAUGAUAAAUUGAGCUAAAUUUUGACAUUUCUCCAUAAAAUUUUGAAUUACUGAAAUUCUCCUAAAAUUUGCAUGAUCUAAGU